UGGGGAAUAUUGGGCAAUGGGCGCAAGCCUGACCCAGCAACGCCGCGUGAGGGAAGAAGGUUUUCGGAUUGUAAACCUCUGUCGCAGGGGACGAAGGAAGUGACGGUACCCUGUAAGAAAGCCCCGGCUAACUACGUGCCAGCAGCCGCGGUAAUACGUAGGGGGCGAGCGUUGUCCGGAAUUACUGGGCGUAAAGGGAGCGUAGGCGGUCGAUUAAGUUAGAUGUGAAACCCCCGGGCUUAACUUGGGGACUGCAUCUAAUACUGGUUGACUUAGAGUACAGGAGAGGGAAGCGGAAUUCCUAGUGUAGCGGUGAAAUGCGUAGAUAUUAGGAGGAACACCAGUGGCGAAGGCGGCUUUCUGGACGACAACUGACGCUGAGGCGCGAAAGUGUGGGGAGCAAACAGGAUUAGAUACCCUGGUAGUCCACACCGUAAACGAUGGAUACUAGGUGUAGGAGGUAUCGACCCCUUCUGUGCCGCAGUUAACACAAUAAGUAUCCCACCUGGGGAGUACGAUCGCAAGGUUGAAACUCAAAGGAAUUGACGGGGGCCCGCACAAGCGGUGGAGUAUGUGGUUUAAUUCGAAGCAACGCGAAGAACCUUACCAGGGCUUGACAUCCCGGUGACCGGUGUAGAGAUACACCUUCUUCUUCGGAAGCACCGGUGACAGGUGGUGCAUGGUUGUCGUCAGCUCGUGUCGUGAGAUGUUGGGUUAAGUCCCGCAACGAGCGCAACCCCUAUUGUUAGUUGCUACGCAAGAGCACUCUAGCGAGACUGCCGUUGACAAAACGGAGGAAGGUGGGGACGACGUCAAAUCAUCAUGCCCCUUAUGACCUGGGCUACACACGUAAUACAAUGGCGGAGAACAAAGGGAUGCAAAGCCGCGAGGCAGAGCGAACCCCAAAAAGCCGUCCCAGUUCGGAUCGCAGGCUGCAACCCGCCUGCGUGAAGUCGGAAUCGCUAGUAAUCGUGGGUCAGCAUACCACGGUGAAUACGUUCCC
rnacentral:rRNA from 1 species